GGGUAGUUAUACAGGACCAGAGAAUCCAAAUAACACUUUUCGACUAGUCUUUUUGGGUGAGGUCCUGGGUUGUUAUAAAUGUGAGGAUCCGUAUGAGCGUAUAUUUAGUCCCAUAUCGAUUAUUCGGUAAGAAGAUCUUGGAUACUUAUAUAGGAUCAAAAAACUCAAAUAACACCUUCGACUAGCCUUUUUGGAUGAGGUCCUAGGUUGUGACAAAUGGUAUCAGAGC
rnacentral:lncRNA from 1 species